UACGUAGGGGGCAAGCGUUGUCCGGAAUCAUUGGGCGUAAAGCGCGUGUAGGCGGUCCGGUAAGUCUGUUGUGAAAGUCCAGGGCUCAACCCUGGGAUGCCGACCGAUACUGUCGGACUAGAGUUCGGAAGAGGCGAGUGGAAUUCCCGGUGUAGCGGUGAAAUGCGCAGAUAUCGGGAGGAACACCAAUGGCGAAGGCAGCUCGCUGGGACGUUACUGACGCUGAGACGCGAAAGCGUGGGGAGCAAACAGG
rnacentral:rRNA from 1 species